rnacentral:rRNA from 1 species
AGUGAACGCUGGCGGUAGGCCUAACACAUGCAAGUCGAACGGCAGCACAGUAAGAGCUUGCUCUUACGGGUGGCGAGUGGCGGACGGGUGAGGAAUACAUCGGAAUCUACUUUUUCGUGGGGGAUAACGUAGGGAAACUUACGCUAAUACCGCAUACGACCUACGGGUGAAAGCAGGGGAUCUUCGGACCUUGCGCGAUUGAAUGAGCCGAUGUCGGAUUAGCUAGUUGGCGGGGUAAAGGCCCACCAAGGCGACGAUCCGUAGCUGGUCUGAGAGGAUGAGCACACACACUGGAAGGGGAAAGGGGCCCAGCCCCCGGGGGGAGGAGCCGGUGGGAAUUUUGGAACAAGGGGCGAAGGCCUGACCCACCAAUCCCGGGGGGGGGAAGAGGCCGUUGGGGUUGUAAGCCCUUUUUGUGGGAAAAAAAAAGAAGGAGUUUAAUCCCCCGCUGUUCGGAGGUACCCAAAAAAAAAAGCCCCGGCAAACUUCGUC